ACUGAGAGUAGAAGGAAAACUCUUACUGACUGGGAUGAACUUUGUCUAGAGCACGCAAACUAGCCAUUUGUUCAUCCUGCCUUAAGAGGAGAGAAAGCCCCAGGAAGUUGGAGUGAGACAGCCAUUUGGAUUUUCUGCAUCAAAAUGUCUUCAGCUGCCUUUGUUGUUUUAAAAAGAAUCCAGGGCCAUCCAAUGAAGCUGUGAAUGAUUCAGGACAGACAAAAGAAGG